CCUACGGGGGGCUGCAGUGGGGAAUAUUGGACAAUGGGGGCAACCCUGAUCCAGCAAUGCCGCGUGUGUGAAGAAGGUCUGCGGGUUGUAAAGCACUUUCAGUAGGGAAGAAAAGCUCGGAGUUAAUACCUCCGGGUCUUGACGUUACCUAAAGAAGAAGCACCGGCUAACUCCGUGCCAGCAGCCGCGGUAAUACGGAGGGUGCAAGCGUUGAUCGGAAUUACUGGGCGUAAAGCGCACAGAGGCGGGCGAAAGCCCUGGGCGUAACCUGGGAACUGCAUUCGAUACUGGCUGGCUAGAGUAUGGGAGAGGGAAGCGGAAUUUCCGGUGUAGCGGUGAAAUGCGUAGAUAUCGGAAGGAACAUCAAUGGCGAAGGCAGCUGCCUGGCCCAAUACUGACGCUCAGGUGCGAAAGCGUGGGGAUCAAACAGGAUUAGAUACCCUAGUAGUC
rnacentral:rRNA from 1 species